UUGCCUAGCAGUCAGCAAAACCACUGAGCUAAAUCCCUGGCCCCAGCUGACUUGUUUUUCAUUGAGUACUUUAUUGCCCGGGAGAAGGUAUCUGCUGAGGAAGGGACAGUGACAGUGGUCUCAUUUUCCCAAAGUCUAUUCACUGUGCUCAACUUUCACUUCCACAUAUUUGCAGACCAAAGAAAAAAUGGUAUUCAUAUUCUCUUUGUUUGCCCUAGGUUUUCUAAGAGGAAAAUGCAGAAAAAUUGAGAUUCAACAGCAUACGGGAAAUUUUCUGGAAGAAAAAUACAAAGCUGUCAAGAUGAUAAUGCCAUAAAGACAUUUCACUUUUUAAAAGAAAUAUUGAAGACUAAACCCAGGCCCUCAUAUGCGCUGGGCAAGGGCUGUACUGCUGAGCUGCAUCGCCAAUAUGUAUACUCUUAAAGUAACAAAGCAAGAUCCAGAAAAAGCAAAAAGAGAGCUAGAUAACAAAGAGCCAAGCAAAACAGUGGUUUGUGGGAAAUGUGCCACCAACAGACAAGACGAGUUUCUACAUUUCUGCACAGCAAAGGAAUCAAUUAGUAGAGUGAAGAGACAACCUACAGGAUGGGAAAUAACUUUUGCCAGCUAUUCCUCAGGCAGAGGACUAAUAUCCAGAAUAUAUAAAGAACUCAAAAAAUUUAGACCACCUAAAAUAAAAG